AGACCUCUAUUGUGAAACAAUUUAAGAGGUAUUAUAAUUGGUUACUAAAGGACUUGACCCUAUUGAAUGGGAUGUUAGAUUGGUAAUUAAAUAAAGAAGAGAAGUCUUCUCAAAGAAAAAGAAAUUCGUAGGAAUCCAUCUCUCCUACAACCUCACCUCAAUUUCCUUGGUAUUUAAUGGAAAUUGACUUGGAAAAGAUAGGGGGACCACUUGAUAAGGAAAGAAACUCAUUCUCCAUGGGAAAAGACUAUGAGAGUCACUUCAAAAUUCGGAUUCAGCCGUUUACGUAGAUUUCCAACCUUUUCUUUCAUCUUCUCUAGAAGAAACAAUGUUGGAAACUUGGUGGGGUCUAUGAGGGUGAUGGGUGGCCAAAGUUUCCAUGGAAAAUUAGGCCAAAGACUAAGGGAAACUUCAAUGAAACUUCCCAUCAAUUUACACUCUCCUUCCCCAUCCUUUUUCUUACGCAUAUUGCCUGCUGUAUUUUACACGGCAGUUUCCAGCUUUCCCUUUUCCUCCUCUUAGUUUAUUCUUCUUCCUUGUCUUUUUCAACGUACAAGCCGUUGUUUUCUUUUCCUUGAACGUUAUACUUCCAUUUCUGCUCCCUCUUGAACGACCAAACUCCAUACUUAGUUUCCUCUACCGAAAAAUUUAUAAGUUUGUGUGUUGCCGUUGCCAUCAUACCACUUCACAAUCUUCUGCGGCUUCGACUCAACACCAUCACCAAGAGGAUCAAGGCUGGUCUCUGUGUUGCUGUUCAACCACCAACGAGAGCCGCCGUUAGCUGUGUUUAGGUUCUUAAAUGGAGGAAGGCCGGAUCGUGUACAGUCGGUCGCAGUAAAGGAGGAAUAGGACUCUCGCUAUCUCCUUCCAAGUGAUGACGGGUUUUCCGUCAAGACUGGAUGUAGGGUGAUAGCUCACCCCGAGAUAUUGAGAAGUAUGGUAUUGUAAUAGUAAACCCCAGUUUUAUAAAUAGAAGCUUAGUUAGUGGUUAAUCGAAUAGCUUCACUUUUGUAUCAAACCUUGGGGUGUUAAACUGGUCUAUUUACAUAGAUACGAUAAUGUUGUAGUUGUGGUUUGUGAAAAAUAAUAUCCUACGUUUCUAUCCCACUGUUUUGUUGUA